rfam:Coxiella burnetii RSA 493, complete genome.
CUGGAGGGUCUGCAGCGGGCUUCCUUGCCCAAAAACUUCAUCCUUGAUACACAGACCUUAGACUACCUCAUUACGUUUAGAGUACACCGAGGACUUCCUUGUCCACCAAGAUCCUAGAGACCUCAGCUAAACUACCUUGUUUAUCAGC